GACAACGCUGGCGGCGUGCUUAACACAUGCAAGUCGAACGGUAAGGCCCUUCGGGGUACACGAGUGGCGAACGGUGAGUAACACGUGAGGAACCUGCCCUUGACUCUGGGAUAACAGUUGGGAAACUUCUGCUAAUACCGGAUAUUCAGAUUCUGCCGCAUGGUGGGGUUUGGAAAGCUUUUGUGGUCAAGGAUGGUCUCGCGGCCUAUCAGCUUGUUGGUGAGGUAAUGGCUCACCAAGGGCGUCGACGGGUAGCCGGCCUGAGAGGGCGACCGGCCACAUUGGGACUGAGAUACGGCCCAGACUCCUACGGGAGGCAGCAGUGGGGAAUAUUGCACAAUGGGCGGAAGCCUGAUGCAGCAACGCCGCGUGCGGGAUGACGGCCUUCGGGUUGUAAACCGCUUUCAGUAGGGACGAAGCGCAAGUGACGGUACCUACAGAAGAAGCACCGGCUAACUACGUG
rnacentral:rRNA from 1 species